rnacentral:lncRNA from 1 species
CAAUCCGAACCUUCCUUUAGUGGUUAUAAACCUUAUUUUAAAACUUGAUUGAUUUCUAUUUAAUUAUACUAAAGUUAUUAUCCGGAAACCAUUCGUCUUCGGACGAAGAUGACGUGAUACCAAUAUAGGACCAAAUUUUUUAAAAAUUUUACGGUCGUAUAAAAAUUCAAUUAACUACAAACAAAUAUGACAGACAUGAACCAACAACC